rnacentral:rRNA from 2 species
UAAGUCUGAUGGAGCACGCCGCGUGAGUGAAGAAGGGUUUCGGCUCGUAAAACUCUGUUGUUAGAGAAGAACAGCCGUGAGAGCAACUGCUCACGGUAUGACGGUAUCUAACCAGAAAGUCACGGCUAACUACGUGCCAGCAGCCGCGGUAAUACGUAGGUGGCAAACGUUGUCCGGAUUUAUUGGGCGUAAAGGGAGCGCAGGCGGUUUAUUAAGUCUGAUGUGAAAGCCUUCGGCUUAACCGGAGAAGUGCAUCGGAAACUGAUAAACUUGAGUGCAGAAAAGGAUAGUGGAACUUCAUGUGUAGCGGUGAAAUGCGUAGAUAUAUGAAGGAACACCAGUGGCGAAGGCGGCUAUCUGGUCUGUAACUGACGCUGAGGCUCGAAAGCAUGGGUAGCAAACAGGAUUAGAUACCCUGGUAGUCCAUGCCGUAAACGAUGAAUGCUAGGUGUUGGAAGGUUUCCGCCUUUCAGUGCCGCAGCUAACGCAUUAAGCAUUCCGCCUGGGGAGUACGACCGCAAGGUUGAAACUCAAAGGAAUUGACGGGGACCCGCACAAGCGGUGGAGCAUGUGGUUUAAUUCGAUGCUACGCGAAGAACCUUACCAGGACUUGACAUCUUCUGCCAAUCUAAGAGAUUAGACGUUCCCUUCGGGGACAGAAUGACAGGUGGUGCAUGGUUGUCGUCAGCUCGUGUCGUGAGAUGUUGGGUUAAGUCCCGCAACGAGCGCAACCCUUGUCUUUAGUUGCCAGCAUUAAGUUGGGCACUCUAGAGAGACUGCCGGUGAUAAACCGGAGGAAGGUGGGGAUGACGUCAAAUCAUCAUGCCCCUUAUGUCCUGGGCUACACACGUGCUACAAUGGGCGAUACAACGAGUUGCGAAACCGCGAGGUCAAGCUAAUCUCUUAAAGUCGUUCUCAGUUCGGAUUGCAGUCUGCAACUCGACUGCAUGAAGUUGGAAUCGCUAGUAUCGUG